AACGAACGCUGGCGGCGUGGAUAAGACAUGCAAGUCGAACGAUUGGAUAGCUUAGCUUGCUUUGCUUGAAGAGAGUGGCGCACGGGUUAGUAACACGUGAGCAACCUGCCCUGAAGCGGGGGAUAGCCUUUCGAAAGAGAGAUUAAUACCGCAUAUGACCUACGGGUUAAAGUUGGCUUCGGCUGACACUUCAGGAUGGGCUCGCGGCCUAUCAGCUAGUUGGUGAGGUAACUGCUCACCAAGGCGACGACGGGUAACUGGUCUGAGAGGACGAUCAGUAACACUGGAACUGAGACACGGUCCAGACACCUACGGGUGGCAGCAGUCGAGAAUCAUUCACAAUGGGGGCAACCCUGAUGGUGCAACGCCGCGUGGAGGAUGAAGGACCUAGGUUCGUAAACUCCUGUCAUCAAAGAGUAAUGCUUAUGCGUUAAAAGCGUGUAAGCUUGAUAGUAUUUGAAGAGGAAGGGACGGCUAACUUCG
rnacentral:rRNA from 1 species